UACGAAGGGGGCUAGCGUUGUCCGGAAUCAUUGGGCGUAAAGCGCGUGUAGGCGGCCAGGUAGGUCAGCUGUGAAAACUGGAGGCUCAACCUUCAGACGUCGGCUGAAACCAUCUGGCUAGAGUCCGGGAGAGGAGAGUGGAAUUUCCGGUGUAGCGGUGAAAUGCGUAGAUAUCGGAAGGAACAUCAGUGGCGAAGGCGACUUCCUGGACCAAUACUGACGCUCAGGUGCGAAAGCGUGGGGAGCAAACAGG
rnacentral:rRNA from 1 species